UUCUGAGGAUUUGAUCCUGGUCCAGGAUGAACGCUGGCGGCGUGGAUAAGGCAUGCAAGUCAUACGGCGCUGAGACCGCAAGGUCGCAGCGCAGUGGCGAAUUGGUUAGUAACACGUAGAUAAUCUGCCUCGAGGACAGGCAUAGUCCCGCGAAAGCGGGAAUAAUUCCUGAUGGUAAUGAGGGGGCGAAAGCCAUUCUCAUUUAAAGCCGCAAGGCACCUCGAGAUGAGUCUGCGUCCUAUCAGCUAGUUGGUGAGGUAACGGCCCACCAAGGCAAUGACGGGUAGGGGAGAUGAGAGUCUGUUCCCCAACAAGGACACUGAGACAUGGGUCCUACUCCUACGGGAGGCAGCAGUCGAGAAUAUUCGGCAAUGGGCGAAAGCCUGACCGAGCGACGCCGCGUGAGCGAAGAAGGCCUUCGGGCUGUAAAGCUCUUUUCUUUGGGAAGAAUCCCGAGCGAAAGCGAGGGAUGACGGUACCAGAGGAAUAAGGGGAUGCAAAUUCUGUGCCAGCAGCCGCGGUAAGACAGAAUCCCCAAGCGUUAUCCGGAUUUAUUGGGCGUAAAGCGCCUGUAGGCGGCCGGACAAGUCUUUAAUUAAAACUCAAGGGCUCAACCUUUGAGCUGUUAAAGAUACUGUCCAGCUAGAGGGCAUUAGGAGCUGACGGAACGGUCGGUGUAGGGGUGAAAUCCAUUGAUAUCGACCGGAACACCAAAAGCGAAGGCAGUCAGCUAAGAUGACCCUGACGCUGAGAGACGAAAGCGUGGGGAGCAAAAAGGAUUAGAUAAAUCCUGUUCCGGCUCCAUAAAACGGAACGAAGGGUGUCCCUUCCGACGGUGACGUCGGAAUGCGCAUCUAGCUAUAUCGGGGAACCCCCCAAUUUCAUUAUAUUGGGGCAAUCCCGAGGGAAGUCCGUCCGCUACAAAGAAGUGGAUAUGUGACCCCGUAGAGACUAUCCCGAAAGGGAGUACCAGAUAUCUGUAUCUGGGAAACGCUAGACAUCCUUAAAUUUUUAGGAUGAUGAUAUAGUCCGACCUACUGGAAACAGAUAGGAAAAAUCAACCCUUGUAGUCCACGCCCUAAACUAUGGAUACUGGCUACUUGAAGUGUCGACCCUUCAAGUGGCGAAGCUAACGCGUUAAGUGUCCCGCCUGGGAAGUACGGCCGCAAGGCUAAAACUCAAAGGAAUAGACGGGGGCUCACACAAGCGG
rnacentral:rRNA from 1 species